UCCGGUUUGUCACCGGCAGUCUCCCUAGAGUGCCCUUGCGUAGCAACUAAUGAUAAGGGUUGCGCUCGUUGCGGGACUUAACCCAACAUCUCACGACACGAGCUGACGACAGCCAUGCAGCACCUGUGUCCACUUUCCCUUUCGGGCACCUAAUGCAUCUCUGCUUCGUUAGUGGCAUGUCAAGGGUAGGUAAGGUGGGGAUGACGUGUGCGUAACAGAA
rnacentral:misc_RNA from 1 species